rnacentral:tRNA from 1 species
GGAGGGGCCGUGGCUCUUAGGUACAGCCUCUGCUUUGAAUGCAGAUGGUUUUGGGUUCGAUUCCCAGCUUCUCCA